rnacentral:rRNA from 2 species
UACGUAGGGUCCGAGCGUUGUCCGGAAUUAUUGGGCGUAAAGGGCUCGUAGGCGGUUUGUCGCGUCGGGAGUGAAAACACCGGGCUUAACUCGGUGCUUGCUUCCGAUACGGGCAGACUAGAGGUAUUCAGGGGAGAACGGAAUUCCUGGUGUAGCGGUGAAAUGCGCAGAUAUCAGGAGGAACACCGGUGGCGAAGGCGGUUCUCUGGGAAUAUCCUGACGCUGAGGAGCGAAAGUGUGGGGAGCGAACAGG